rnacentral:misc_RNA from 1 species
GACCGUCCGUCGUUUGACAAUAUCGAAAGUGCGGCCGAGGGAAGAGCUGUUCAAUCAUGCAUGUCUCUACUUGGUGUGCAUGUUUGAUAUUCACCCGAUCGAUGGAGCAAUUCCAUCUCGGUGAGGUACACGUGAGAGUGCAGUCACGUUGGCACGUGACUGUGUGAAUAUUGAUGUCGAUUGAUCACGGGCAUAGAUGCGCAUCGUGGCUAGAUGCAUCUCAACUGUGCGUAGAUUCCAGCUGUCGUAAGUGCUUUUGAGAUUACAAAGAAAUUUCCGUUCUCCAUUAGUCAGUGCUUUCCUUGCGAAUUGAAGAUUAUUUGUUUAGCCUUUAUUGAGACUAAGAGGAUUUUCAAUUGGUUUUGGCACUACUUAUUUUUUAUUUUUUUUAUUUUUUUCGUCGAGUGUUUUCCGAUGAAUCUCGGAACUCACGUGGAAAAACAACAGUGUGUCUGUCGUUGAAGGUCAGUCGCACAGAGCACCAGCAAAUGUCCACGUGUCAAUUGAUACUGACGUACGUGGUCUUCCAUCAGCGACCGACAACAAUAAAACGGAAACAAAGGUCCGUCAGAAGAGAUCAAAGAGCUCAAAGGCCUUUCAAUCUCUUUCAGGUUAAAAAUAACAAGGGUCGCAUCCUACACAUAAAGGAGAAUUACUGUAUCUAUUGUGUUUCUCUGUUUUGGAACAUCGACGCAAUGCUGUACAGCAUUAUUUUAUAUCUUUGAGCAUCCACACAAUUUGUGAGGAUUUCCCCGAAAUGUUUGUAAAAGAAAUUUCUAUCAAUCCUUUUUAAAUCCCUUUUAUUUAUCGUUGUUUAUUGUUUGGUCUGGCCAAAGAAUGACGUCCAUUUUUGUUUUUAAUACCAGACUUCCGUUCAAAGAACUGGGAGAGGAUUUAAUCGAAUUAAUGGAUUCGGGCGCAUCGACGUCCGUCUGUAUAUCCUCUUGUGGGAAAUGGCUAUUAUUGGCCGUUGAACCUUUUGACACAUUCCCGAGUCAAACUUCGCCACCCUAAAGGGAUAGGAAAUUAAAAUGCAAUCAAUUUCUAGCCAAUCUUCAAAGGCGGAAGCCAUUUCGGUGCGCUAAUAGAAAUUAUGGCAGGGCAUCGGUGCAGAACGCCAGAGCAUUCUGCAUGUGUAACGGAACGUGGAUAACAGACGAGCAUGUUCCCACGGAAUGAUAUCAUAUUCUCGGUGACGCUCGCCUUUCCUUUUUGGCAGGAAAUUGAAUCUAAAAAUAAGUGCGGCAGUGUUGCGAAAAUGCGUCGCCAUGCCGUGUACUAUACACGACUGGAACGUGUCUGUGCAGCGGGACCCAUCCCACGUAGUACGUACAUAUGUAUCCAGCGCUCUUCUGCUCAUCCUGCUGACUACCCCUGUAUAUAUUACACGUAUAGACGGAACGCGUAGCAACAGUUGUAUGGGAAUCGCUAUUUCGAUGGAUGGAUCAAACUGUAGAGAAGGUCACGCUACCGUGAACAAAGAUCCGCAUUGGCGACGACUCAUUCCACCUUUGGUGUGUACUGCCUCUCGCCCCAUCUGGGCCUUUGCUGCUUCUAACGGCCCGUGACAAUUUCAAAUUGGCAAGGAAAGUUGGUCGAAUGUGACACUCUGCAGCUUUGACAAUUCAUACGGUUUGGGUGAAUCUAAUUCUGUCCAGACCAAUCUUAAAAAAGAAAAAAAAAAAAAAACAUUUUCGCCUGUACAACGACUGACCCAUUGACCCACUUUGGAGUGUGCUGCAGUUGCCAUUUCACGCGUUGCGAUUCAUAAUUCGCGCCCCCGGACAGCAGCUGCCUCUUUUGCUGGCGUGUUUUUUGCUGUCUUCGGCGACAUUCCAUUUUAACAGCACCCCUCUUUCUCUCUUCGUCUAGCCUCAUCACCUCUACAAUGAGAGAACAGAGCGGGGGAAUUCUCAUUGGCUCAAAUUAUUGGCUGCAGUGAGAGAGAGACAUGCAGUCUGGGUGACAUCACGCUAGUAUUACAACAAUGCUGAUGCAGCGCAGGCUGCCGCCCCUGCAGUCAAACACGGUUUCUCUUUCUUCGCUUUUGUCAUCCCGUCCGCCCGUACAAUAAUGCCGUCAGAUUUAAUGGCUCUACUUGGUGAAAUAGGGCCACUCGUGUCUUUUUACGAGCCGGGAACAAAUAUAAGGCAAUUUCGCUAUUUGUAAAGGUUCCAUUCCGAUGAACAAGAGCCCCGCCAAAGUGCGCCACAACGACGACAAAGAGCUAGAAUACGAUCCACUAAAGAAAUCAGGUCGAGUCGAGCAGUCUCAGCGAUUCGACAAAGCAAUCCAAGUUCACUUCCUCCCUCCUGAAUCACUGAGCAGGAAUGAGAGUCAACGCAAAGAGGCGAUGCACGGUGGAGGAGUCAGAUUACCCGCAUGUGCACAAUUCUAACCUUUAAUUCUCAUAACUGAAUCAGGGAAGAGCAAAAAGCGGAUCAGAUUAUGUUGUUCCCUCGUUUUGUAGCCUCCAAUUGUUUGUCCCUAUUAUUUGCGACUUUUCCUUUUUCUGGUUUUCCUCGGAAUUUAUCGAACGAUUCCGAGAGGCCGCUCCGCUUAGGAUGUUAACUGUAUAUACUACCUUAUUCUUAAAUGAUUAGUCGUGCAUACGAGUUAAUUAGGCCAGCUAUUAGAGAAAAGGGAUCAUUAUGUUUCCGUGCGGAUUGUCCACAUCCGUUGCGGAGGGGUCACAUCCGCGCAGCGUCCGCAUCAUUAAUCUCUCGUCGUGCGUGCGUGGCGACGGCAAAGCAACUGGCAAAGAAUAGACACGAUGCAUUGAAAGCUGAAAAAUAUUGCACGGCAGCAGAACACCCCGCUCCAGCCCGAUGCAUCACGGAAACAAUUUACUUACCGCCACAGAAUGGAUGGGGCCAGCAGCCGUCUCAUGUGUCCUCGGAAAAUGUAGCCAACACACAUAUACACGUGAGUUUAAAAAUGAUUGAUGAAACCACUUUGUGCUCGACUCAAAGUAAGUUACUAGUAGUACGGUAGUAUCGGAUCCCAUCCAUUCGGCAGCGUCCAAUUCGCAGCCGAAAUAGGACAUUUAUUUGCAGAGUGAGACGUGAGAAAACUGUAUCCUUCCAUGUUUGAGAUGUGGCAGGAUCAAAAGACUGGACUGUGUGACUGGCUUUUGGGCAAAUAACUCGUCCGCAACUUGAAUCUGGUCAAAUGUGCGCAAGAAAACGUGCGGAAUCCGCACUCGCUGACUCUUUUUUGAGAGUCAAUAAGAUGAAAAUCGGGAAUGAUGUGUGCCAUAAACAUUUGUGAGUUGCGAUCUGUAAUUUCUUUUGGCAAACUGUAUGCCAAAAAAGUUUCAUAGCCUUGACAAGAAGAAACCGGGUCGAGCAUGAGCGCUAGGAAAUAGAUUAUGGGAAAAUAGGUUGCAAGAACUGGCCCAGUUUUUCGGAGAAAUCCGGGAGCAAUUUCAUACGAUACCUCACUCUGAAGUACGCAGGGCGGUAUCUUAUUUAAUUAAAAAAUACUGUCGACUUUUAAAUGAUAUCAGGUUGUACGGUACGGCAAAAGUAAUAUUGAACAAAUCGAGAAAUCGUCGAGUGGUCUGCAACUCGAUACGAAAAUCCCGCCGUGUAGACGUAAUCUUGGCGUAUCAAAAGUAUAACCGCGCGUUUUUGUUUUAUAGGAGCGAAGCAGCUGCCCAUAAAACUUAGUUUUUUUCCCCUGACGUACAUUUGAUAAGAAUUUGUAUUUGUCGUCCGUGCUGAUUACAGUUAAAAUAGUCACCAAGUCUUACAUGGUGGUACGGGCGUUAUCAAAAGGUAGUGUAACACAGUGCAUGGCCGAAUGCGGGUGAUAAUAGUGUCUCGACUUGAGAAAAAAAUGGAUACAUUUCUCAAGCUUCUUGUCUUCCUUUACUUGGCGGGAGGUAGCUCAGCUGAUUGCACAACCAGCAAUGACGGUUCCUGCACAUGGAUAGUGGCAAACGCAUGUAAUAGUCCCAAAUUUUACUGCGGGGAAGAGGCCGAGUGUCUUGUCGUGACUAAAUCUCUCAACUCAUCUUAUUGGCUGGAGUCGAGCUCCGCUUCCAACCAGCAAUUCGAGUGUCGUUGUCCCGUGGGGGCCACAACCAACUGCAAAAAUCCAGCUUUGAAGUGUACUUCACAUCGUCCUACGGACAGCUUUGUGAAGAUUUCAGUCGAUAAUAUGCCGACAAAUUCUUCCAUGAGUGUCGUUUACGCCGAAAUGUGGAGGUGCCCCAUUGGAGAUAAUUCUGCCAUACAAUGUCCGUCAGGAAAGAUGAGAAUUGGAAAUGAAUUGGGAUGCAAUAGUGCCGCCCAGAUGCUCCCAAAUGUGUUCGCCCUCGUACGAUUUUGGUGUCAAUUCAAAAUCAACGCAUGCGAAUUCGAUUCAUCGCUUAUUCUGUCACACGUUGGUCAGUCACUCGCACAACCGGAGACUUUACCUGGAAAUUACGUCUUUGAAUCAAGUGUAGUCACUGAUCAACAAAAAACCUUCCAAUGCCCUGCACAAUCGGUCAUGGAUAGCGGCACGUGUUACAGGAUGACCCCGAUGAACCUCGAAUGGAAAGCUGCCCGAUCACAUUGUCUUCAGCUUGGAGGCGAUUUGGCUCAUUUUACCAACUACACCGAUUUUGCCUCCAUUUUGCGUAGAUUGGACAAUACCAUUCCGACUAAUUUGACAUCUUUGACAGCUAUUCCUACCUGGUUUAAAUUUUUCACUUGGACUGGUGAACAGCGGACUCCUCAGAACUUUCUGCAGUACACGGAUGGCUUCCAAUGCGACGUUUAUAAUCUCCAGCGCGACGUUGGAGCUAAUCCACAUUCCAGGUGUAAAUUUGGUGCACGAUUGAAAAAAAUCCGCGGGUUGUGCGUUCUACCCCCCAUAUUGCCAUCGGAGAAUUUCAAUUAUGAAAAGCUUUCAUGCCCUGUCAAAUGCGACGUCUCCGGGUAUACAGGCUAUUGUUGGGAAGCAGAGGCCGAUACAAAGGUCUCAACUAGUUGUCCGAAUGGAUUAAGUGGCUUUGCAACCUGGACUUGCGGUAUUGAUGGUAAAUGGACAACUCCAUCUCCUGAUCAAAGUAACUGCACCAACCCAAUCGUCGAAGAUUCAAUCAACCAAGCCAACAAAAAUAUCACGAAUGGUGGAAAUCCAAGCGAGUCAUUGAAUGGUAUCUCCACUGUCCUUAAGGAAAAUGAGAUGGCGACCGCCAACAUUGUUCAGCUUGACAUGACGGUCCGAUUAGCUAUAGAAAAGCAAACGGAAUUAUUAAGUGCGAGUACGGACGUCAAUUCAAAAGACGCCAGCAGCAAGAAUUUCACCAAUUCAAUAGUAGAUGUGAAUAAUGAACUGCUAACCAACGACCUGGCGUUUUGGGGCUUGGACCCUAUUUCUCGUAGUGAAGCUAUCGAUCAAGUGCAAAAGAACAUCGACGACACCUUAUUUUUGCUGGCUGAUAAUCUUCUUGAUCAAGUUUAUAAAACAGUUUAUCCUAACAUCGCCGUGCAGGUGGAAAGGAAAAUCAACGCGGAUUAUAAAAACCAAACGUAUACUUAUGUGACCGGAGAUAAAGAUCAACUGAUCCUUCCAGCCGGAUUUCCCUAUGCGGUCGACGAUACAGAAACCCGACUUUCUUUUGCAACGUACAACGCAUUUCAGAACCUUCUCUAUGGCGACACAUUGGCUCAACUGUCCGCGGAAAACGAAACCAUAUUUGAACCAAUAGGACAAGUCGUGGUGUCUAAAGUACUGGGUGCUACACUUGGUCAACCAAACGGAUCUAUCCAUUUUGUUGACGGAAAGGUCGAAAUUCUUCUGAGUACUUUGAAUCUUGAUCGAUAUGAAGUUAAUAAGACGACUGCAACUUGCGUAUUUUGGGAUACUUUGACUCAAGAGUGGUCAUCCGAUGGGUGUGAAGUGGUGGAAACUAACGGUACAUCAACCACAUGCCAGUGCGAUCACUUAACCAAUUUUGCAGUUUUAAUGGAUAUCAACGGCCUCUUUGAAAAUGAGAAGAAAACCGACUACCCCGCACUAGAUUACAUCACCAUAAUCGGCGGAAGCAUUUCUAUCGUUUGCUUGACGUUGGCUGUCAUUAUCUUUUACUGGAAGCUAUUGCCAACCGGGAUCUCUGCCUAUCCAUCGCCGUAUUCCUGCACUUUUUUUUCCUGUGCGCUUUCAGCUGGAUGGUUGUGGAGGGUCUUUAUCUCUAUUUCCUCAUCACUAAAGUUUUCGAUGGAAGUGGAUUGAAACAGUGGCAGUACUACGUCAUCGGGUACGGAGUACCUGUUUUAACUGUUACCAUUACUCUAGCCGUAACCAAAACGGAAGCUUACCUCGGUGAUCCUUUUUUAUAUUGCUGGUUAAGUUAUGAAAAUGGGGCAAUAUGGGCCUUUGCUGGACCGGUUGCAGCCGUUGUUUGU